AUGGCAGGAGCAGGAGUCGGCGGCCGCAAGGCUCGCAACUUCGCGACCUUUCGCCUAUUCCCCCGCGACGGUGCCGCCGACCCCAACGACCGCGUCUUCGUCCGCGUCGACAACAACGCCUACACCAUCCCUGGCUUCGGCGACGACGAAGACCCUUCCCUCUCCCCCACCGCCGCCGCCGACCAAUUCCCUUCCUCCACCUCUGCCCCCCUCCCCGACCACGUCCGCCAGCAGAUCCUUGAGCUCGGCCUCCCCGACGAUGGCUACAACUACCUUCUCCAUCUCCGUGAGCUGCGGCCCUCCGCUGUGGCCUCCUCCUUCGUGCCCAGCCAUACCGCCCGCCCAGAGCAACUUCCCCUGGACGUCAAGGCCUAUGAUGCAAGCAAGGUGCGGGUUGCUUCUGGCAAGGUCGAGGAAGAGCUGGACGAGGGGAGGACCAUGUGUAAGGUGGCCGCAAAGACGGCACCGGUGAGGCGAGUUGAGAAGGCCGUCGACCCUGACGUUGCAAGGUUGCUCGAUGAGAGCGAGGAUGAGGGUUUGGAGGAGGAUUUCGUCAUCAUGGCAAACCAAGCCGAAGGGGAUGACAUGGAGGAUGAAAGUGAGGAAGAGGGUGGUGGUGUGUUCAGUGAUGUGGAAAAUGAUGAGGAGUUCGACAAUGAAGAGGAUGAGCCCAAGCCGAGGGUGCCACGAUUGCUGGAUGAACAAUUUGAUUUGCUUGCUCUGGAAGAGUAUGGAGCUAGUGAUGAUGAUGAUGGAGCUGUUAGAGAUGGGGAACAUGAACUCCCAACAGAGGUUAUAGAUGAAUUGAAGUUGUUCCACAAUCAAAAUGUAUGUGUUGAUGAAGAAUAUAGAACACCAGCAGAUUUUGUUCGUGGAAAACUUGACUCAACCACCACUGAGGAGGUGGAUGAAUCUGCUAAUGUGAUCCAAAAGUGUGCUGAAUAUGCUGAAAGGUAUUUAAAUGAAACUGCAGAAGAUGAAGAGGUCUUGCUUGUUUCAGAAAGCAGUGAUGAAUCUGAAGUUUGGGACUGUGAGACCAUUGUUUCCACGUACUCUAACUUGGACAAUCAUCCUGGCAAAAUUCAAACUCCAGGAAAUCCUAGAAAUCGUCUUCCCAAAGUUUUCCCUGGGGAAACAGCAACAACGAAAGAUAUCAUCAAGCUUCAUGGUAAAGAGAAACUUCCUGUAGAUUACCUGCCACAGAGGAAAAGAAAAGUUGAAAAGGAGAAGAAAGCAAAGCCCACAGAAGCUUCAGAUGCUGAAUAUUAUUUUGAAAAGGUAGUAGUUCAGAAGGAAACAAAAGAUGAAAAGAAAGCUAGAAAGUCCGCGGUAAAAGAAGAGAAGAGAGAAGCCCGGAAAGCAAAGAAAGAGCUGAAAGAACUGUAUAAAUUUGAAACACAGAAGGCUCAGAAAGUUGCCGCUGUUACAGGACCAUCUUCCAUACGGCUAAUAUAA
rnacentral:rRNA from 1 species